rnacentral:misc_RNA from 1 species
GGAAGUAAAAGUCGUAACAAGAUUUCCGUAGGUGAACCUGCGGAAGGAUCAUUAUUGUAUAACCGAGGUGCGAGGGCUGUCGCUGACCCGAAAGGUCGUGCACGCCCGAGUGCCCUCACACACAUCCAUCUCACCCCUAUGUGCACCACCGCGUGGGUCCCCCUUUGGCUUGUUCGGAGGGGGGCUUACGUUUUCACACAAACUUUGUAUGCAGUGUAGAAUGUAUUUUUUGUUUUUGCGAUCACGCAAUCAAUACAACUUCCAACAACGGAUCUCUUGGCUCUC